CCUACGGGUGGCAGCAGUGAGGAAUAUUGGUCAAUGGGCGGAAGCCUGAACCAGCCAAGUAGCGUGCAGGAUGACGGCCCUACGGGUUGUAAACUGCUUUUAUAUGGGAAUAAAAUGUUCCACGUGUGGGAUUUUGUAUGUACCAUAUGAAUAAGGAUCGGCUAACUCCGUGCCAGCAGCCGCGGUAAUACGGAGGAUCCGAGCGUUAUCCGGAUUUAUUGGGUUUAAAGGGAGCGUAGGUGGAUUGUUAAGUCAGUUGUGAAAGUUUGCGGCUCAACCGUAAAAUUGCAGUUGAAACUGGCAGUCUUGAGUACAGUAGAGGUGGGCGGAAUUCGUGGUGUAGCGGUGAAAUGCUUAGAUAUCACGAAGAACUCCGAUUGCGAAGGCAGCUCACUGGACUGCAACUGACACUGAGGCUCGAAAGUGUGGGUAUCAAACAGGAUUAGAUACCCCAGUAGUC
rnacentral:rRNA from 1 species